rnacentral:lncRNA from 1 species
ACAAGAACAAAUAAAAGGAAAUACUUAAAUAUGGAGAUGAUGUUAGGGAUCUUUUAUUUUUCUAAAUUAUUUUUUUCUAUUUCUAACACUCCCCCUCAAGUUGAAUUGUGGGAUAUCCAUGAUUCAACUUGGAUUGGUUUUGAUUUUGGGUUUUGAUUGGUUUUUGGUUUGGCUACCGUCUCCUUGACAUGCUACCGCCUUUCGACAUGGUAACUUUUGGGUUCUGGUUUCUGAGAUUUUUGGUUUUGGUUUCCCCUUAAGUUGAAGAAAUUCAACUUGGCCUUUUAGGUUUU